rnacentral:rRNA from 1 species
UACGGGAGGCAGCAGUGGGGAAUAUUGCACAAUGGGCGAAAGCCUGAUGCAGCUAUGCCGCGUGUAUGAAGAAGGCCUUAGGGUUGUAAAGUACUUUCAUCGGGGAGGAAAAACAAAACUAAUAAUUUUAUUUCUUGACGUUACCCGAAAAAGAAGCACCGGCUAACUCCGUGCCAGCAGCCGCGGUAAUACGGAGGGUGCUAGCGUUAAUCAGAAUUACUGGGCGUAAAGAGCACGUAGGUGGUUUUUUUAAAGUCAGAUGUGAAAUCCCUGGGCUUAACCUAGGAACUGCAUUUUGAAACUGAAAUACUAGAGUAUCGUAGAGGGAGGUAGAAUUCUAGGUGUAGCGGUGAAAUGCGUAGAUAUCUGGAGGAAUACCUGUGGCGAAAGCGGCCUCCUAAACGAAUACUGACACUGAGGUGCGAAAGCGUGGGGAGCAAACAGGGAUUAGAUA